GCACUUAGUUAAAAAGUAGUUUUAUCUUUAGGAAAAAUUAGAUUUUUACUGAACUAAAAUUAAAGCCUAAAUGAAACUAAAAAUUUUAAAAGUGCAAAACAUAACAUCUCUUUUUUUUUAAAAAACUAAAUGUAUUUAUGUAUAAUUGGAAAGCCUAACCCUGUUAAGGAUUCAGCUCUUAAUGGAGGUAGCGCUGUUUAAAUCACUGGGUCUAAUUUGGAACUUCAAGGCCCAGAAGCCCUGCUGAUUUUCACCCCGAGGUCCAGAAAUACACUGAUUUACAGCUGGGACACCUGGAGUUACGAGUUAGGGGAUAACUCACUGCAGCACACACUUAAAUUCACAGUUUAGAUAUCAUUUCCUUACUAAGUGUAGAGGUUUAUGAUCAGAUUGCUAAUUGGCUGCCCAUCUGGAAAAUCUUUUGUUAUUGUCAUACAGAUAAAAAUCCAGUCCAUAAAUUUGGAGGGCUCAAAAGAGACUGAUAAGUCUCUAAUGGUAUAUAUACUCUAAAAACAAUCCUAGAUUUCAUUAAACCAUCUCGACCUUUUAAAUGUUUCCUCGUUUUAUACUCCACACAUUCAGAUUAAAGACUAAAGCAAUCCAUUAAAAAUAAAACCACUAAUGCUCAGUUACUGUAGAGUUGACAACAGGGAAACAUCAGUAUCUACAUUGGCUCUUAUUAUUACAUCAGUCUGGGAAUGCCAAACAGCUAAGGAUGCACCACAUCAGCUAAAGGGUGACAUUCCACAUGAUUAAACCCAGCUUGAGCACCUAUGGGCGUUAGAGCAAUCAUAAAAGUAAUUCUGAGAGCAGAGACUUGGUAAGUGAGAGUCCAUGGUUUUAAAAAAGGUCAAACAUGGUCAAACAAACUUUGUGUAAUUACUGUCACAGCCAGAGGAGGGAGACAAAACUUAACCACCACAGGUUCAACAUGGGAAACAUCCCCAGCUGUACCAUCCACCCCACUUCUGAUGUAAAUGCACCUCCAACACUAAUAACCUUUAUCAGGGUAACUUUAUCUAGAAGAAGUUUCAUACAGAAUCUCACAAUCCUUUCUAACAUGAAGGGUCAACUACACUUCUCAUUUAAUAUUAGUAAGAACCCACUUUAUAACACAUAAUUACGCACUGAAAAGGUUAAAUGGUGCUUUGUGUCAAUGUAAAAGCUAAUCAAAGUGACAGUAAUACAAAGGGAAAUGUUUGGCAAAGGUGACUAGCCUGAUGUAGGUGUUAGAGCAUCUCUGUGUGCUUGUUUCACAUCAUAGCAGCCUUCAGAUCGAGCAUGAGCCUCCUCUUUUCUCAUUUUUCACACCUUUGCUCUGUUCUCCUGCCUGCCUCUGUGUGAAUCCCUCUAACAGCAUAACGUGAAUCAGAAAAAGGAAAAGGGGGUAGAAGAAGAAGAAGAAAGAGGAGGAAGAGGAGGAGGAAGAAAGAGGGAUUUUUACUCUUCUUUAGUGUCUGAAUGAGGGUGGAUGACUCGGGGAAUGCUGCUUCUCCCGCUUUGCAUUGUUACGAAUCCUUCUGUAUUUUUGUCAAGUCUUUAGUUUCUACCUCCCCUUGGCAUUUUCACUGUUUUUGUUUGUUUUGGUUGGUAUUUUAGUUUGUUUUGGGUUUUUUUGUAUUUGAAUCUAUAUUUACUGUUUAGACUGUUGCUGAACCUCUCUGUGAUAUCAAAAUGACAGAAAAUUGACAAAAAAAACACCAAGUGUCUUAAAAUAUUGUAUCGCCAUCGUUUUUAAUGCCAAGUAAUACUUGUAAAUGUUUGUGUAUCAAAUGUGGCCUCAAAGGAAACUGAACUAUAUUAUUAUUAAUAUUAAUAUUAUUUGAGCAGUUAUUUUAAACAAGUGCUGUAGACCAC
ensembl:lncRNA